rnacentral:tmRNA from 1 species
GGGGCUGACAAAGCUUAGACGGUUUAUUAACAGAUAUCAAGCACGACGAUUGAUACCGUAAGUAUUGAAUAAAUGAAGAAAAAACUUCGAAACAUGUGCUUUAUGCACCUGUUUAUGCCUAGUAUUAUAAUUUUUUAGGCUGGUUUAGAGGUCGAGUUUCCAUAGAACUCUAAAUUAUCAUAAACUUAUGGGAAUGGAAUUUGCCUUUUGACAGGGGCAGAUUCGAGAUCUAGUCAUGGCGUCUUUUAGGUUUCGUUCUUUGUCGCCUAUCUGAUAAGCCAAGAAUAAAAACAGAGAACUAUGCGUGUAGAAUGGUAUCCAUAAAUACUCCGGACGGGGAGGCAGUAUCCCCCAGCUCCACCA